GGAACCUGGGGACAUAAACACAAAGAAUCUGAGAUCUUUCAUCUCAAGGAGAAAGUGGCAGCGCUCUCUCACAUGUCUGGGCUCUGUGCUCACCCUGAGGCCCAUCGCCGGCCUGCUGGACGCUCCGCCGGAGGAGGUGUCCGCCACGGCGCCGCGCGAGCCCCAGGAGCCCAGCAGCUCCUCCCUCAGCAGCGCCUCCUCCUCCGAAUACGACGAGGCAGACGCCUGGGAGUGCUUCCAGCAUUUCAGCCCCGAAGACGAGGACUGGGACGACGACGAGGAUGAGGAGGAGGAUGAAGAAGAAGAGGAAGAGGAGGAGGAAGGAGAGUACGACCCUCGACGAGGGCACCUCUCCGAGAAGGGCCGAACGCUGGAGGAGCUGGGCCGCGCCAGGCUGGACGAGGAGGACCUGAUUUUGGAGAGGGGGGGCGGCGAGCGGGGGGCGCUGGUGUUCCCCGCCGGUAAAUCCGGGGACCAGCAGCGGGGGGGCAGAAGCAGCAGCCCGUCGCUGUACCUCUCGGACGAGAGCUCAACCGGCGAGAGCCGCAUCCCCCGCGGCCGGCUGAUCCGCAGCAACUUCUACAGCAGCUCACAGCAGCUCUCGCCCAUGUCCGCCCGGCACAUGCUGCUGCGCGACAAGAUGCACGCGCGCAAGCAGGAGCGCGGCCGCAGGCCGCUCCGCACCAGCCUGUCGGGCCGCCUCAACGAGCCGCUCAUCGAGUACGUGGAGGACGCGCCCGAGGGGGGCGCGGAGGGGGGCGCCCGCGGCCAGAGGAGAGGCUCCACGCACUCGGCCAUGCUCAAGUCCUGCUCGUUCGACAGCGGCGUCAGCCUCUCCCACCCGCUGCCCGCCCAGCGGAGGAGCAGGUCCCUGGACGAGUCCACCAGGAGGUCCCCGGCCUCCUCCGAGCUCCGGGAGCCGGGUGAAGAGGAGGAGGAGGACACGUUGUUCAGUCAUAAGGACGAGUUCACCGACGAGGAGGAGAAGGGGGCGGUGGGGGUGGACACACAGCAGAGUACAUCGCCGCAGCCUGAAGCUGCCAGCUUCAGGGGGAGGAGGCAGAGUGUGGUGGCCAAAGUGAAGCCCCGAACACAAGGGGUGGAAGAGGGGGAGCCAGCGGAGGAGAGCGCCCCCCAGAGCCAGCCUCAGGCCCCUGAGAGGACUGAUGAAGGGUCCAGGCCUCUUUCUGGGGGGGGUGACGUGGGCGGCUCCCAGGCUUCCCUCGCUGAGUCUUACAUUCUAGAACCGGACUCUGAGGCCUCCAGUAGAGCGGACUCCUUAGAGGACAUCUCCAUCCGUCGUCUCGCCAUGCCCAAGAAACAGCAGUCCUCCUCUGGAAGGGCCUUGCCUUCAUCUCUUCUGCAUGGCUCGGAUGAGGAGGAGGAGGAGGCUCGCGGACCCCCAACCCCCCCGAGCCGGAGAUUUGGAUCGAGGCUCAGCCUCCAAGUAGAGAGGGGGGACCUCUCCCUGAAGCGCAGCCCCUCGCGUCUUUCGGAUCAGGUCCCCGUGACCAUUCCGGGGAACAGGGAGGUCCUCCAGAGACACGCCUCUGCCCCUGCCCUGGAGACCAAGCUGCCCAGCGGGAAGUCUCCCAAGAUGGGCCUCAUGAAGCUGUUCCGCCGGCAGUCCUGGACGGGCCAGUCGCACUCCCAGCUGGAGGCCGGGGACAGGAAGCAGAGGGAAGGGGAGCGCUCCGCCCCCAAAAGCCCGAUGCUAACCCUGAAGAAGAAGAUGAGAGCCUCAGCUUCCAGUCUCACUAAGCUCUUCACAAGACAGUCGAGCAAAGAGGAAAAGAAAGGCGGGCCUAUUUAUAAAGGUCCUUCCCCAGGGGCUCCAGAGAAGGGACGCACUCCCACCGGCCCUGGGCACGCAGCCUCCGGCUCCAGCAGCCCUCAGAAGAAAGCCUCCAAGCUCUUCUCCAUGAAAGUUCCCACCUUCAUGAAAAGCAAAGGU
rnacentral:lncRNA from 1 species